CCUACGGGAGGCAGCAGUGGGGAAUAUUGGGCAAUGGACGCAAGUCUGACCCAGCAACGCCGCGUGAAGGAAGAAGGCCCUCGGGUUGUAAACUUCCUUUAAGGGGGAAGAGCAGAAGACGGUACCCCUUGCAUCAGCCACGGCUAACUACGUGCCAGCAGCCGCGGUAAUACGUAGGUGGCAAGCGUUGUCCGGAUUUACUGGGUGUAAAGGGCGUGAAGCCGGAGAGAGAAGUCAGAUGUGAAAUCUUCGGGCUCAACCCGUGAACUGCAUUUGAAACUGUUGCCCUUGAGUGUCGGAGAGGUAGUCGGAAUUCCUGGUGUAGCGGUGAAAUGCGUAGAUAUAAGGAAGAACACCAAUGGCGAAGGCAGAUUACUGGACGAUAACUGACGGUGAGGCGCGAAAGCGUGGGGAGCAAACAGGAUUAGAUACCCUUGUAGUC
rnacentral:rRNA from 1 species